rnacentral:rRNA from 1 species
AUGAACGCUGGCGGCGUGCCUAAUCCAUGCAAGUCGAGCGAACGGACGAGAAGCUUGCUUUUCUGAUGUUAGCGGCGGACGGGUGAGUAACACGUGGAUAACCUACCUAUAAGCCUGGGAUAACUUCGGGAAACCGGAGCUAAUACCGGAUAAUAUUUUGAACCGCAUGGUUCAAAAGUGAAAGACGGUCUUGCUGUCACUUAUAGAUGGAUCCGCGCUGCAUUAGCUAGUUGGUAAGGUAACGGCUUACCAAGGCAACGAUGCAUAGCCGACCUGAGAGGGUGAUCGGCCACACUGGAACUGAGACACGGUCCAGACUCCUACGGGAGGCAGCAGUAGGGAAUCUUCCGCAAUGGGCGAAAGUCUGACGGAGCAACGCCGCGUGAGUGAUGAAGGUCUUCGGAUCGUAAAACUCUGUUAUUAGGGAAGAACAUAUGUGUAAGUAACUGUGCACAUCUUGACGGUACCUAAUCAGAAAGCCACGGCUAACUACGUG